CCUACGGGGGACAGCAGUGGGGAAUAUUGGACAAUGGGGGGAACCCUGAUCCAGCCAUGCCGCGUGUGUGAAGAAGGCCCUCGGGUUGUAAAGCACUUUCAGUGAGGAAGAACGCCUGGUGGUUAAUACCCAUCAGGAAAGACAUCACUCACAGAAGAAGCACCGGCUAACUCCGUGCCAGCAGCCGCGGUAAUACGGAGGGUGCGAGCGUUAAUCGGAAUUACUGGGCGUAAAGCGCGCGUAGGUGGCUUGAUAAGCCGGUUGUGAAAGCCCCGGGCUCAACCUGGGAACGGCAUCCGGAACUGUCAAGCUAGAGUGCAGGAGAGGAAGGUAGAAUUCCCGGUUUAGCGGUGAAAUGCGUAGAGAUCGGGAGGAAUACCAGUGGCGAAGGCGGCCUUCUGGACUGACACUGACACUGAGGUGCGAAAGCGUGGGUAGCAAACAGGAUUAGAUACCCCUGUAGUC
rnacentral:rRNA from 1 species